rnacentral:rRNA from 1 species
UGGGGAAUUUUGCACAAUGGGCGCAAGCCUGAUGCAGCGACGCCGCGUGAGGGAUGAAGGCCUUCGGGUUGUAAACCUUUUUCGCUCAUGGUCAAGCCGCAGCUUUGGGUUGUGGUGAGGGUAGUGGGUAAAGAAGCGCCGGCUAACUACGUGCCAGCAGCCGCGGUAAUACGUAGGGCGCGAGCGUUGUCCGGAAUUAUUGGGCGUAAAGGGCUUGUAGGCGGUUGGCCGCGUCUGCCGUGAAAUCCUCUGGCUUAACUGGGGGCGUGAGGUGGGUACGGGUUGACUUGAGUGCGGUAGGGGAGACUGGAAUUCCUGGUGUAGCGGUGGAAUGCGCAGAUAUCAGGAGGAACACCGGUGGCGAAGGCGGGUCUCUGGGCCGUUACUGACGCUGAGGAGCGAAAGCGUGGGGAGCGAACAGG